GACGAACGCUGGCGGCGUGCUUAACACAUGCAAGUCGAACGGAAAGGCCCUGCUUUUGUGGGGUGCUCGAGUGGCGCACGGGUGAGUAACCCGUGAGUAACCUGCCCUUGACUUUGGGAUAACUUCAGGAAACUGGGGCUAAUACCGGAUAGGAGCUCCUGCUGCAUGGUGGGGGUUGGAAAGUUUCGGCGGUUGGGGAUGGACUCGCGGCUUAUCAGCUUGUUGGUGGGGUAGUGGCUUACCAAGGCUUUGACGGGUAGCCGGCCUGAGAGGGUGACCGGCAACAUUGGGACUGAGAUACGGCCCAGACGCCUACGGGAGGCAGCAGUGGGGAAUAUUGCACAAUGGGCGGAAGCCUGAUGCAGCAACGCCGCGGGCGGGAUGACGGCCGUCGGGGUGUAAACCGCUGUCGCCUGUGACGAAGCGUGAGUGACGGUAAUGGGUAAAGAAGCACCGGCUAACUACGUG
rnacentral:rRNA from 1 species